rnacentral:rRNA from 1 species
CCUACGGGGGGCAGCAGUGGGGAAUAUUGCACAAUGGGGGAAACCCUGAUGCAGCGAAGCCGCGUGAGUGAAGCAGUAUUUCGGUAUGUAAAGCCCUGUCAGCAGGGAAGAAAAUGACGGUACCUGACCAAGAAGCCCCGGCUAACUCCGUGCCAGCAGCCGCGGUAAUACGGAGGAUGCGAGCGUUAUCCGGAUUUAUUGGGUUUAAAGGGUGUGUAGGCGGAUUUUUAAGUCAGCGGUAAGAUGUACGGGCUCAACCCGGGCCGGCCGUUGAAACUGGGGGUCUUGAGUGGGCGAGAAGUAUGCGGAAUGCGUGGUGUAGCGGUGAAAUGCAUAGAGAUCACGCAGAACUCCGAUUGCGAAGGCAGCAUACCGGCGCCCGACUGACGCUGAGGCACGAAAGCGUGGGGAUCGAACAGGAGUAGAUACCCGGGUAGUC